GGCAGGCCUAAACAUGCAAGUCGAACGGUAAGAUCUCGCUUGCGAGAUACACGAGUGGCGAACGGGUGCGUAACGCGUAUGCAACCUACCUUUAACUGGAGAAUAGCCCCGAGAAAUCGGGAUUAAUACUCCAUAAGAUCCAGUUUUCUCAUGAUUACUGGAUUAAAGCUCCGGCGGUUGAAGAUGGGCAUGCGUGACAUUAGUUAGUUGGUGAGGUAACGGCUCACCAAGACUACGAUGUCUAGGGGUUCUGAGAGGAUUGUCCCCCACACUGGUACUGAGACACGGACCAGACUCCUACGGGAGGCAGCAGUAAGGAAUAUUGGUCAAUGGACGCAAGUCUGAACCAGCCAUGCCGCGUGCAGGAUGACGGCCCUAUGGGUUGUAAACUGCUUUUAUACGGGAAGAAUCCCCUGUACGUGUACAGGGUUGACGGUACCGUACGAAUAAGCAUCGGCUAACUCCGUGCCAGCAGCCGCGGUAAUACGUAGGGGCCAAGCGUUAUCCGGAUUUAUUGGGCGUAAAGAGCUCGUAGGCGGUUUGGUAAGUCGGUCGUGAAAGUCCGAGGCUCAACCUCGGAAUGCCGGUCGAUACUGCCAUGACUAGGGUUCGGUAGAGGAGAGUGGAAUUCUCGGUGUAGCGGUGAAAUGCGCAGAUAUCGAGAGGAACACCAGUAGCGAAGGCGGCUCUCUGGGCC
rnacentral:rRNA from 1 species